GAUGAACGCUGGCGGCGUGCCUAAUACAUGCAAGUCGAGCGAAUGGAUUAAGAGCUUGCUCUUAUGAAGUUAGCGGCGGACGGGUGAGUAACACGUGGGUAACCUGCCCAUAAGACUGGGAUAACUCCGGGAAACCGGGGCUAAUACCGGAUAACAUUUUGAACCGCAUGGUUCGAAAUUGAAAGGCGGCUUCGACUGUCACUUAUGGAUGGACCCGCGUCGCAUUAGCUAGUUGGUGAGGUAACGGCUCACCAAGGCAACGAUGCGUAGCCGACCUGAGAGGGUGAUAGGCCACACUGGGACUGAGACACGGCCCAGACUCCUACGGGAGGCAGCAGUAGGGAAUCUUCCGCAAUGGACGAAAGUCUGACGGAGCAACGCCGCGUGAGUGAUGAAGGCUUUCGGGUCGUAAAACUCUGUUGUUAGGGAAGAACAAGUGCUAGUUGAAUAAGCUGGCACCUUGACGGUACCUAACCAGAAAGCCACGGCUAACUACGUGCCAGCCGCCGCCGUAAGAC
rnacentral:rRNA from 1 species